UAAGUUAAUAAGGGCGCACGGUGGAUGCCUUGGCACUAGGAGCCGACGAAGGACGUGACAAACGACGAUAUGCCUUGGGUAGCUGUAAGUAAGCGAUGAUCCAGGGAUUUCCGAAUGGGGGAACCCAACAGGUAAUACCUGUUACCUACAUCUGUUAAGGAUGUGAGGAGGAAGACGCAGUGAACUGAAACAUCUAAGUAGCUGCAGGGAAGAGAAAGCAAAAGCGAUUGCCUUAGUAGCGGCGAGCGAAACGGCAGAAGGGCAAACCGAAGAGUUUACUCUUCGGGGUUGUAGGACUGCAAUGUGGACUCAAAGAUUAUAGAAGAAUGAUUUGGGAAGAUUAGCCAAAGAGAGUAAUAGCCUCGUAUUUAAAAUAGUCUUUGUACUUAGCAGUAUCCUGAGUACGGCGGGACACGUGAAAUCCCGUCGGAAUCUGGGAGGACCAUCUCCCAACCUAAAUACUCCCUAGUGACCGAUAGUGAACCAGUACCGUGAGGGAAAGGUGAAAAGCACCCCGGGAGGGGAGUGAAAUAGAACCUGAAACCGUGUGCCUACAACAAGUUCGAGCCCGUUAAUGGGUGAGAGCGUGCCUUUUGUAGAAUGAACCGGCGAGUUACGUUAUGAUGCGAGGUUAAGUUGAAGAGACGGAGCCGUAGGGAAACCGAGUCUGAAUAGGGCGCCUUAGUAUCAUGACGUAGACCCGAAACCAUGUGACCUACCCAUGAGCAGGUUGAAGGUGCGGUAAGACGCACUGGAGGACCGAACCAGGGCACGUUGAAAAGUGCUUGGAUGACUUGUGGGUAGCGGAGAAAUUCCAAACGAACUUGGAGAUAGCUGGUUCUCUCCGAAAUAGCUUUAGGGCUAGCGUCGACAUUAGAGAUUCUUGGAGGUAGAGCACUGUUUGGGUGAGGGGUCCAUCCCGGAUUACCAAUCUCAGAUAAACUCCGAAUGCCAAUGAAUUAUGGUCGGCAGUCAGACUGCGAGUGCUAAGAUCCGUAGUCGAAAGGGAAACAGCCCAGACCACCAGCUAAGGUCCCAAAAUAAUUGUUAAGUGGAAAAGGAUGUGGGGUUGCACAGACAACUAGGAUGUUAGCUUAGAAGCAGCUAUUCAUUCAAAGAGUGCGUAAUAGCUCACUAGUCGAGUGACCCUGCGCCGAAAAUGUACCGGGGCUAAAACAAUUUACCGAAGCUGUGGAUACCUUUAUAGGUAUGGUAGGAGAGCGUUCUAUGUGUGAUGAAGGUAUACCGUGAGGAGUGCUGGAACGCAUAGAAGUGAGAAUGCCGGUAUGAGUAGCGAAAGACAGGUGAGAAUCCUGUCCACCGUAAGACUAAGGUUUCCAGGGGAAGGCUCGUCCGCCCUGGGUUAGUCGGGACCUAAGGAGAGACCGAAAGGUGUAUCCGAUGGACAACAGGUUGAUAUUCCUGUACUAGAGUAUGUAGUGAUGGAGGGACGCAGUAGGCUAACUAAAGCAGACGAUUGGAAGAGUCUGUCUAAGCAGUGAGGUGUGAAUUGAGUCAAAUGCUUAAUUCUAUAACAUUGAGCUGUGAUGGGGAGCGAAGUUUAGUAGCGAAGUUAGUGACGUCACACUGCCAAGAAAAGCUUCUAGCGUUUAAACAUACUCUACCCGUACCGCAAACCGACACAGGUAGUCGAGGCGAGUAGCCUCAGGUGAGCGAGAGAACUCUCGUUAAGGAACUCGGCAAAAUGACCCCGUAACUUCGGGAGAAGGGGUGCUGACUUUAAGUCAGCCGCAGUGAAUAGGCCCAAGCAACUGUUUAUACAAAAACACAGCUCUCUGCUGAAUCGUAAGAUGAUGUAUAGGGGGUGACGCCUGCCCGGUGCUGGAAGGUUAAGAGGAGUGCUUAGCGUAAGCGAAGGUAUGAAUUGAAGCCCCAGUAAACGGCGGCCGUAACUAUAACGGUCCUAAGGUAGCGAAAUUCCUUGUCGGGUAAGUUCCGACCCGCACGAAAGGCGUAAUGAUUUGGGCACUGUCUCAACGAGAGACUCGGUGAAAUUUUAGUACCUGUGAAGAUGCAGGUUACCCGCGACAGGACGGAAAGACCCCAUGGAGCUUUACUGCAGUUUGAUAUUGAGUGUCUGUACCACAUGUACAGGAUAGGUAGGAGUCUAAGAGAUCGGGACGCCAGUUUCGAAGCAGACGCUGUUGGGAUACUACCCUUGUGUUAUGGCCACUCUAACCCAGAUAGGUGAUCCCUAUCGGAGACAGUGUCUGACGGGCAGUUUGACUGGGGCGGUCGCCUCCUAAAAGGUAACGGAGGCGCCCAAAGGUUCCCUCAGAAUGGUUGGAAAUCAUUCGCAGAGUGUAAAGGUAUAAGGGAGCUUGACUGCGAGAGCUACAACUCGAGCAGGGACGAAAGUCGGGCUUAGUGAUCCGGUGGUUCCGUAUGGAAGGGCCAUCGCUCAACGGAUAAAAGCUACCCUGGGGAUAACAGGCUUAUCUCCCCCAAGAGUUCACAUCGACGGGAGGUUUGGCACCUCGAUGUCGGCUCGUCGCAUCCUGGGGCUGUAGUCGGUCCCAAGGGUUGGGCUGUUCGCCCAUUAAAGCGGCACGCGAGCUGGGUUCAGAACGUCGUGAGACAGUUCGGUCCCUAUCCGUCGCGGGCGUAGGAAAUUUGAGAGGAUCUGCUCCUAGUACGAGAGGACCAGAGUGGACUUACCGCUGGUGUACCAGUUGUCUUGCCAAAGGCAUCGCUGGGUAGCUAUGUAGGGAAGGGAUAAACGCUGAAAGCAUCUAAGUGUGAAACCCACCUCAAGAUGAGAUUUCCCAUGAUUAUAUAUCAGUAAGAGCCCUGAGAGAUGAUCAGGUAGAUAGGUUAGAAGUGGAAGUGUGGCGACACAUGUAGCGGACUAAUACUAAUAGCUCGAGGACUUAUCCG
rnacentral:rRNA from 1 species